rnacentral:tRNA from 1 species
GAGGGGAUAGCUCAGUAGUAGAGUGCACGCUUAGCAUGCACGAGAUCCUGGGUUCAACCCCUAGUACCUCCA